rnacentral:tRNA from 1 species
AGUAAAGUCAGCUAACGCA